rnacentral:rRNA from 1 species
GAUGAACGCUGGCGGCGUGCCUAAUACAUGCAAGUCGAACGGGGAGUAGCAAUACUCUUAGUGGCGAACGGGUGAGUAACGCGUUGGUACCUGCCCCGAAGCGGGGGAUAACGGACCGAAAGGUCCGCUAAUACCCCAUGUGCUCGGUAACGAGUAAAGGUGAAAACCACUUUGGGAGGGGCAUGCGUCCCAUCAGCUAGUUGGUAAGGUAACGGCUUACCAAGGCGAUGACGGGUAGGGGACCUGAGAGGGUGGCCCCCCACAAUGGAACUGAAACACGGUCCAUACCCCUACGGGUGGCAGCAGUAGGGAAUAUUGGUAAUGGGCGCAAGCCUGAACCAGCCACGCCGCGUGUGCGAUGACGGCCUUCGGGUUGUAAAGCACUUUUGACUGGGACGAGGAAGGACGGUACCGGUCGAAUCAGCCUCGGCUAACUACGUG